rnacentral:rRNA from 1 species
UACGUAGGGUGCGAGCGUUAAUCGGAAUUACUGGGCGUAAAGCGUGCGCAGGCGGUUCGUUGUGUCGGCGGUGAAAGCCCCGGGCUUAACCUGGGAAUGGCCGUUGAAACUGGCGAACUGGAGUGUGGCAGGGGGGGUGGAAUUCCGCGUGUAGCAGUGAAAUGCGUAGAGAUGCGGAGGAACACCGAUGGCGGAAGGCAGCCCCCUGGGCUAACACUGACGCUCAGGCACGAAAGCGUGGGGAGCAACAGG